AUAUCACCAAACCUGUUUGAUGUAACUAUAACCAAUAGAUUUUGCAUACAAGCCCUCGUUUUAUACAAAUUGAAUGGUGGUUUCAGUCUACGUUUGAUGAUCCAACUCCAUUGGUAGAAUAACAUAUACUUAUUGGACCAAAGUGACAGUCGAUGUAUAUCCUUAUAAGUUCUUUUUUUUUUCUAUAAGGAAACGAAAUCUAAAACAAGCGAAUGAUAAUGAUAUUUUAAGAGAGAAUCAAUCUACUUUAAAAAAUUUCCAACCUGAUUUUCAAAACGACUACAGAGUUAAGCCGGAUCAUACAUAAAAAACUGAAACUAGCAACAAACCCAUCUGCAAAUUCUAAUACGCAAAACUCAAAGCAGA